rnacentral:sRNA from 1 species
GAGAGAGAGGUCCAAGGUGCCCUACAUCAUGCGCCAGUGUGUGGAGAUCGAGCGCCGAGGCAUGGAGGAGAUAACAAGGACGUGUCGGUGAUGAUGAGCGAGAUGGACGUGAACGCCAUUGCAGGCACGCUGAAGCUAUACUUCCGUGAGCUGCCCGGGCCCCUCUUCACUGACGAGUUCUACCCCAACUUCGCAGAGGGCAUCGGGUGGCAGAGAAGGAGGCAGUCAAUGAGGUGUCCCUGCACAACCUUGCCACUGUCUUUGGCCCCACGCUGCUCCAGCCCUCCGAGAAAGAGAGCAAGCUCCCUGCCAAUCCAAGCCAUCACCAUGACUGACAGCAGGUCCUUGGAGGU